rnacentral:lncRNA from 1 species
AUGAGAUUAAUUCAAGUUAGCUUUGGCCUCUACAAUUACAAGAGGUGCUCAAAGUGGUUGUCAUUGGCUUCCAGACAUUUAUUAGUAUGGAGAAGUGCUGAAGUGUGUAUACAUUUCUUUGGGUGGAUUUUGCAUUUUUCAUUUGUACAUAAAUAAAAUUAUAUGGAUCUCGAGCCAAGACAUAUCUAUGUUGGUAUCCUGUGUGAUUUUAGGGAAACGUAUUUAAUAUCUCUGAAGCUCAACUACUCAAUCAAAAGGAAGGAUAAUAAUGAACAGUUAAAUUCCCAAAAGGAUUCUAUACUUCUGUGUGUAUCCUAGGAGGCUGAGUCUUGCUCCAUAAAUCAGGAUGCCCUGGAACUUACUAUGUAACUCAAGGUGGCCUUGACCCUUGAACUUGUGAUCCUCUUGCUUCAGCCACCCAAGUUCUGGGAUUACUUGUGUGCACCAUAAUACCUGGCUGCUUCUUCAGAUUUGGAAUUUCAUUUUUUCCAAGGAGAUAUGCUGUGUCGUUCCACUACAUGCUCCUCACCAUGACAGUUUCCUCACCAUGGGCCCAGAAACAAUGGAACUAAGGGACCAUGGACUGAAACCUCUGAAACUGUGAGCCAAAAUGAAUCUUUCUUCCUUUGAUUUUCUUAGGUAUUUUGCCGCAACAAAAAAACCCCUAAUACACUGUGUAUCAUUCUAUGAAUCCACUCUUCUUUUUUCUUGAAGGAUUAUCUUUACUUUAAAUCCCUAAAUUUGCUAUUCACCAUUCCUAUGCAUCUUUUAAUAAUUUGUUCUAUCUCUAUCUAUCGAUCCAUCCAUCUCCAAAGACAAUGCAUAACAUUAUGCUAAAUGUUCCAUAACUUUAUAUAGAUGAUACAAUGUGGUCUGUAUUCUUUUGCAACUUAUUCUUACUGUUCAAUAAUAUAUUAGUGAGAUUUAUCAAUGUGGCUAAAGCUAACUGUAGCUAAUUCAUUUUCACAGCUUUUUUUUAUUACAUUGUAUAGAUAUAUCAGUCACACUUUGUUUUAUCCGG